CCUGAUGCAGCGACGCCGCGUGAGGGAUGACGGCCUUCGGGUUGUAAACCUCUUUCAGCAGGGACGAAGCGCAUGUGACGGUACCUGUAAAAGAAGCACCGGCCAACUACGUGCCAGCAGCCGCGGUAAUACGUAGGGUGCGAGCGUUGUCCGGAAUUACUGGGCGUAAAGAGCUCGUAGGUGGUUUGUCGCGUUGUUCGUGAAAACUCACAGCUCAACUGUGGGCGUGCGGGCGAUACGGGCAGACUUGAGUACUGCAGGGGAGACUGGAAUUCCUGGUGUAGCGGUGGAAUGCGCAGAUUUCAGGAGGAACACCGGUGGCGAAGGCGGGUCUCUGGGCAGUAACUGACGCUGAGGAGCGAAAGCGUGGGGAGCGAACAGGAUUAGAUACCCUGGUAGUCCACGCCGUAAACGGUGGGUACUAGGUGUGGGUUUCCUUCCUUGGGAUCCGUGCCGUAGCUAACGCAUUAAGUACCCCGCCUGGGGAGUACGGCCGCAAGGCUAAAACUCACAGAAAUUGACGGGGGCCCGCACAAGCGGCGGAGCAUGUGGAUUAAUUCAAUGCAACGCGAAGAACCUUACCUGGGUUUGACAUGCACAGGACGCCGGCUGAGAUGUCGGUUCCCUUGUGGCCU
rnacentral:rRNA from 1 species